AUUGAACGCUGGCGGCAGGCCUAACACAUGCAAGUCGAGCGGAUGAAGGGAGCUUGCUCCUGGAUUCAGCGGCGGACGGGUGAGUAAUGCCUAGGAAUCUGCCUGGUAGGGGGGGAUAACGUCCGGAAACGGGCGCUAAUACCGCAUACGACCUGAGGGAGAAAGUGGGGGAUCUUCGGACCUCACGCUAUCAGAUGAGCCUAGGUCGGAUUAGCUAGUUGGUGGGGUAAAGGCCUACCAAGGCUACGAUCGGUAACUGGUCUGAGAGGAAGGUCAGGCACCCUGGCUGUGAGGCUGGGCCCACACUCCGGCGGUAGGCCGCAGUGGGGACUAUUACACGAUGCGCGAAUGCCUGAUCCAGCCCUGCCGCGUGUGUGCAGAAGGUCUUCUGACUGUAAAGCACUGUAAGUUGGGAGAAUGGGCAGUAAGUUAAUCCCUUGCUGUUUUGACGUUACCAACAGAAUAAGCACCGGCUAACUUCGUG
rnacentral:rRNA from 1 species